GAUCCAAGUGCACAUACACGGGCCCAAGUUCCACUCUCACAGUUAGCCAUAAAUAGAUGUAGAAAUGCCAUUCAACAGCCUUUGUAUAGAACACAUACCUCAGCAUCCUUGAAACAAAGCUGACUUUUGUGCCAAUUUGAAAACACUGCCUCAAGGCGUUCCUGAGAUAUUGUGAUCACAUGAAUGGAUGGAUGGACAGCCCGAAACAUGGCCACAGCUAUUGCCCGCAUGAACACAUAAAUAGAUGGUAACCUUUGUGACAGUGGUGGCUGUGACAUGGCAAGAAAUGUGGGAAACAAGCUCCUCAGGACAGCAUAGGGCUUUGAGGCCAAUUUGACACUGAGUCCAAACCAUGGC